rnacentral:tRNA from 1 species
UAAGGCUUAAAAAUUAUUAAUUUUUAUCUCCUGAAUGCAACUCAAGCACUUUUAUUAAGCUAAAGCCUUU